rnacentral:rRNA from 1 species
CAGUCGCCGCGGUAAUACGGAGGGUGCAAGCGUUAAUCGGAAUUACUGGGCGUAAAGCGUGCGUAGGCGGUUCGUUAAGUCUGUUGUGAAAGCCCCGGGCUCAACCUGGGAAUGGCAAUGGAUACUGGCGAGCUAGAGUGUGUCAGAGGAUGGUGGAAUUCCCGGUGUAGCGGUGAAAUGCGUAGAGAUCGGGAGGAACAUCAGUGGCGAAGGCGGCCAUCUGGGACAACACUGACGCUGAGGCACGAAAGCGUGGGGAGCGAACAGGAUUAGAUACCCCAGUAGUCCCUGUCUCUUAUAC